GACGGCUAGGCUAGAGGGCAAGUUCAGGCUGGCCUGGGCCUGAGGCCGCUGCGGGCCUGGCGGCAGCAGUGACAAAAGGCCUGAGAAGCCCCUGAGGCAGCGGGUCGUGCCCGCGUUGUGCGCUGUGUUUGCUGGAUUGUGCACUAACAAAUCUGUGGCUGUCACAGUUGGUUCGAGUUUUCGGAAGCGGAGGCCUUCAGAGGGACGCCGCCUCUUAGGUGACACUGAGUGGAAAGUGGUACAAAGCCCUGAAACUGCUUCGCUGUGAAGUGCUGUGCGUUAGUGUCCGUAGCUCUGAAUCAAAUUGCAGCCGAAUGGCACCUGUGCAUAGAGAACUAAGUGACAGGAUAGCAGAAGAACCAAGGAAUGUGGCAUCAAAUCAGUAAAAAAAUGAUUAUGUAAUAGGAACAGUAUCACAUGUGCUCCUCAAAAACAGUAUUGCAGAAAAUAAAGAGGAUUUAAAGAAGAGUAGAGAGAAUGGUCCUAUCUAUAAAACCAGCAUACGCAGAAAUGGAAAAGUGAGAAUUUUUGCCAUACGUAGAAGAUAAAUAGGAGAUAAUCAGAUAAAAGUAUGCAUGGUGAUGAAUGAUGCAGAGAAGCAAACUGAAAUUUCGAUUACACUUACAUUAAAACAGGUAUAAAAUACCUUGUAAAUUAAAAGAGGAAAAUACAAGACUGAGGAAAUUCCUUUUUUCGGACAAUAUGUGAACAGGUCGUGGGACUCAGUGCCUCAGGAGCUUAUUAUGGCUGAAACAAUACCAUUUUUUAGACUUUCAUUUAUAUCUAGUUAGUGAAGUAUUGCAAGUAUUUUAGAAAGUAUUGGACUACUCAAGAACCUUUAAAAGCAAUUUCUUAGGACUGUGAAUAAAGUUUCCAAGAAGAACAUUAUGGUUUGUUUUUGAAAGCUCCUUUAAGGAUUGAGAAUGUAUUAUUAGAAGAUGGUCCGCAUUUUCUGCUCACAGACAACUACAUGGAAGCAAGUGGAAAGGUCCUGAGUUCAGUCCAAGCAGCAACUGAACCUAUGAGUUUUCAUUGCAAAGAGUUACAAACAUGUUCUAUAUGACUCAAGGCAUCUUGGCAUAGACCAUUCUACAGUGCCCAAGGAAUAAGGCGAGUAUUUGGUUU